UACGUAGGGUGCGAGCGUUGUCCGGAAUUAUUGGGCGUAAAGAGCUCGUAGGCGGUGUGUCACGUCGGCCGUGAAAACCUGCAGCUUAACUGUGGGCGUGCGGUCGAUACGGGCAUCACUGGAGUUCGGCAGGGGAGACUGGAAUUCCUGGUGUAGCGGUGAAAUGCGCAGAUAUCAGGAGGAACACCGGUGGCGAAGGCGGGUCUCUGGGCCGAUACUGACGCUGGAGGAGCGAAAGCGUCGGGGAGCAAAACAGGGAUUAG
rnacentral:rRNA from 1 species